rnacentral:ncRNA from 2 species
UAUUGGACUGGAAUUGACGGUCUCUUCGUGCGGAAGAGUGAAAAGGGAAUGCGGUGCGGGCGCCUUGAGCCCAAUUCCGCAGCUGCCCCCGCAACUGUCAGCGGCGAGCUCGUGCCACAAUGCCACUGGGUUCCGGCCCGGGAAGGCGGUGACGGGCGGCGACCCGCGAGCCAGGAGACCUGCCGUCAAUUCGGUCGAGCG